rnacentral:sRNA from 1 species
ACGACGAAGGGGUAGUAUGUACUGUACAUACAUCAUAACAUCAUCGUCACCUAGUUCCACCACUUCAUUAACAACAAUUGACUGAUAUACGCCCUUGCUGCCCGCACCGUCCUUUCUCUCCCUCUCGUUGUUUCCCACAUGUUUAUGUACAACCUCCCUCCAUUUUUGCAGGGAAUAUAUUUUCGUGUUCCGCUGGACAUUCAGUCCGCUUAGUUUCGGAUGUAGGUCAUAGUUGGGCAGUUGUUUUCUUUCCUUCAUCCUGGCUUCCG